rnacentral:rRNA from 1 species
UACGAGGGGGGCAAGCGUUGUUCGGAAUCACUGGGCGUAAAGCGUACGCAGGCGGAUAUGUAAGCUAGGGGUGAAAUCCCGGGGCUCAACCUCGGAACUGCCUUUAGAACUGCAUAUCUAGAGAUCGGAAGAGGAUGGCGGAAUUCCUAGUGUAGAGGUGAAAUUCGUAGAUAUUAGGAGGAACACCAGUGGCGAAGGCGGCCAUCUGGUCCGAUACUGACGCUCAUGUACGAAAGCGUGGGGAGCAAACAGG